rnacentral:rRNA from 1 species
CUAAUACAUGCAAGUCGAGCGGACAGAUGGGAGCUUGCUCCCUGAUGUUAGCGGCGGACGGGUGAGUAACACGUGGGUAACCUGCCUGUAAGACUGGGAUAACUCCGGGAAACCGGGGCUAAUACCGGAUGCUUGAUUGAACCGCAUGGUUCAAUUAUAAAAGGUGGCUUUUAGCUACCACUUACAGAUGGACCCGCGGCGCAUUAGCUAGUUGGUGAGGUAACGGCUCACCAAGGCAACGAUGCGUAGCCGACCUGAGAGGGUGAUCGGCCACACUGGGACUGAAACACGGCCCAAACUCCUACGGGAGGCAGCAGUAGGGAAUCUUCCGCAAUGGACGAAAGUCUGACGGAGCAACGCCGCGUGAGUGAUGAAGGUUUUCGGAUCGUAAAACUCUGUUGUUAGGGAAAAACAAGUACCGUUCGAAUAGGGCGGAACCUUGACGGUACCUAACCAAAAAGCCACGGUUAACUACGUGCCACCAGCCGCGGUAAUACGUAGGUGGCAAGCGUUGUCCGGAAUUAUUGGGCGUAAAGCGCGCGCAGGCGGUUUCUUAAGUCUGAUGUGAAAGCCCCCGGUUCAACCGGGGAGGGUCAUUGGAAACUGGGGAACUUGAGUGCAGAAGAGGAGAGUGGAAUUCCACGUGUAGCGGUGAAAUGCGUAGAGAUGUGGAGGAACACCAGUGGCGAAGGCGACUCUCUGGUCUGUAACUGAC